rnacentral:misc_RNA from 1 species
GGAAAGUAAAAAUAAAAAUAACAAUACAAUUACACAUAUUUUUUAUUGGUCCGGAUAAAAUAUGGUGUCUACAAAUACAUUUACAACACACAAAGCCAGCACUUUUAUCUAGGAACAAGAAAUAAAAUAAUACUACACCUGCAGCAACCGACUACAAGCAGCCUCAACAGCAGUUGCAGACCAUGAUCUCCCAAUAGACUUUAACACAAUCAAUGUUAAAGCCCAUUUAGGUAGCAGCCCCAACAAUGCUAUAAUGAAACUAACUAAAGUAGAGAUGAUUGAGGACGCUGAAAUCCUCCCAACAAUAGGCUGCCAUGUUGACUUUGGGUUUAAUCUUAAAAAUGGAUAUAGUGCUAUACAAUAUAUCACCUAAAAAGCCAGAAAUAAAUGUCAGAGAGCAGGUUGUUUCAAGUCAAAAGCACAUAAAAGAUACAUGAUGUAUGCAAUUUGCAUAAAGCAAUACCUUCUUCUGAGACCUCCUCAGCACUUCAAAAGAUAUAUAUGAACCAAUAGAGUGCCCAACCAGUAUUAUAGGAACCUCAGUAAUUUGCAAUUCAUGUCUGAUGAAGUCUACCUUAUGAUCAAUCUGUUCUUGGAUUGAGAACAACCUUCCAUGCUCCCAGUCCUAAGAACAAGAAACAUUAUGGUCAAUUUUUUUCUCAAAACAUUAUGGUCAAUGAGACACAACUAUAGGAACAAAGUCAUACUAUUGCUGCUGGUUAUAAGUAGUGCAUAAGAAGAAAUCUUACAAUGGCAAGAAAAUUUUAGAAAAUAAUAACAUAAUAAAAAAACACCUUUUUUGUGUGAGAAAUGUGUCCAAUAGCUGUGAAUGAACACAAAAGGCAAAACCAAAUUAGGUAAAGUGAGAAAGAAAGUAACAUCGUAAGCAAGCUAAAAUGAGAUGGGAAAAAAAUGCCUGUUAUGGAUGCAACUCCUCCCAGCCGCUCAUACAGAGAUUCCAAAAAGUCCUUGUAGAAUGCAAUAACGCCUGUGAUUAUUCAACUCCAAGUUCUUAAACAUCAUCAUUCAAUUAUUUUGUAAUUACUAAAAUAAACCCAAAAACAAAACCCAACCAGGAUUUCCAGGGACGAACAAAACAUGCAACUUCGGAUCAUCAGCACGAAUCUCCAGCAAUUCAGAUGUGUGACUGAUCAUAAUAUAAAUACAAAAUAAACAUAUAUUACAACAAAAAGAAGAAAAAUUGGAAAUGAAAUUGAAAAAUACCCGGACACAUUGCACAAACGGGAAAUCACAGGUCUUCUAAUAUUGGGAACUAAUUUCUGGCAACUCAUAUCGCUCCUCACACACCUAGCUCUAUACUCCUUCCCAGAACAAACACACGCAGAGAGAGAUGUGAUUGCAAAGUAGAAUGAUGAAAAUAGUAGAGAAAUCAGCGAAUGUAAGGUUGAAAUAAGGAAUUUACCUUGAGUGGAAAGAGAUGAAUUAAGCUGGAGCAGCAGAAGAGACCAAAGGACCUAAGCAUCAGCUCCUGUUCUGCUAAUGGCUAAUGCCUCUGAGUUCUGACUUCCAUAUCUCUACAUGUUGGUUUAGAGAACAUAAGUACGGUGGUGAUGCUUCCCCUCGUGAUGGUAGGGUGAUUCUCUUGCUCUGAAGUAAGGGAGUGUUCCUUGUCGGCUGGCUAUUUGGGCAUCACCAGGUGGAGCUAGAGGAGAUUGAGAAGCUCGUAUUUUUGCCAUGCCAUUUCCCGGUUUAUCCGGUAUUGGUCCUCGCCGGGAGAUUCCUCAGGCAGUGUGCUACUCAACUCUCUUGUUGCUGAUGGGGUGAAUCCUUUUAUUGGGUGACCUUGAUGGUUAUCAUUGAGGAGCUUAUUGGUCUCCCCUUUGUGCUUCAGGUUCUACAUGUGUAGCC